rnacentral:rRNA from 1 species
UGGGGGAUAUUGCACAAUGGGCGAAAGCCUGAUGCAGCGACGCCGCGUGGGGGAUGAAGGCCUUCGGGUUGUAAACUUCUUUUGCUCUGAACAAGGCGCACCAUGGGGUGUGUUGAGUGUAGGGGUUGAUUAGCGCCGGCUAACUACGUGCCAGCAGCCGCGGUAAUACGUAGGGCGCGAGCGUUGUCCGGAAUUAUUGGGCGUAAAGGGCUUGUAGGUGGCUGGUUGCGUCUGUCGUGAAAGCUCAUGGCUUAACUGUGGGUUUGCGGUGGGUACGGACUGGUUUGAGUGCAGUAGGGGAGGCUGGAAUUCCUGGUGUAGCGGUGGAAUGCGCAGAUAUCAGGAGGAAUACCGGUGGCGAAGGCGGGUCUCUGGGCUGUUACUGACACUGAGGAGCGAAAGCAUGGGGAGCGAACAGG